GUUUCUUCAUUUUCAUUUAAUGUGUAGGAGUGUUUUUGCCUAUAUGUAUGUGCACCAUAUGCAUGCAAUGCCUGAGGAAGCCAGAAGAGGGCACCAAGUCCUCUAGUCACAGACAACUAUUGGCUGUCAUGUGGGUUCUGGGAGCUGCACUGUGGUCCCUCUGCAAGAGCAGUAAGAGCUUGUUCUUAACUGCUGAUCCACCUCUUCAGCCCUGUGGUUACUUUUUCUUCAGAACAGACUUGAACCAGACAAGACACUGGAGUCUUUGAUCUCACUUCACACUUCUCGGCACCCUGUGUGUUAUGCUGUCACCCUCUGGUGACAGAUGAAAAGGCUGAAGCUACAGGGUGUGUGUGUGGUGCUGUGGUGCAGUUCCUGUCCUUCUUUGUAUGUGUUCCUGACAGGACAUAAUUGGCUUUAAAACAGUGACUUCAGUGGAGUCGCUCCAGUGCUGGAGACAUCCCCAAGGCCUUAGUCUCAAUCCCUACGGCCUGAAAUUGGUUUGGAGUACAACGUUUCUGCUAAAGAGCUAGCAAGCCAGCUCAGGAAGUAAGAAUGCUUGUUGUGUAAGCAUGGAGACCUGAGUCUGAAUUCCCAACACCCAAGUUAAAAACUGUGCAUGGGUGGGCAUGCCUGUUACUCCAGUGUUGGGGCCAGACAGACGUGGACAUUGAAAGCUUGACUGCAAGACUGCCCAGCUGAAAUGGUUGCACUUCUAAUUCAGUGAGAGAUCCCGACUCAUAUUGAUAAGGCGGAGAGCUAAAUACAGGAGAACAAGAAGCCUUUGUCCUCUGGUCCCUGAAUCUGAUGCAUGCUUACAGGUGUGCACAUUUAUGUACAUGCACACUGCAUGCGUGCAUACUGCACACAUACACGCACUGCUAUCACACAUGCACACGCUGCAUACACGCUGCACACAUAUGCACACUGUACACACAUGUCCACACACACCUUGCACACACACACACUGCACAUACAUUGUGCAUACACGCACACUUUUUCAAAAAGCGGGUGGUGGGACUUUCUCAAGAUCUUCCCGUAUUCUCAGCAUACAGCCUUGGCUUCCAUGGUUUUCCAGGGGUUCACAUGAAAUGUUAGUUUCAUCUGCCCAGGUGGAUGUUCUGAAGCCUCACAGAGAAAAUCAAAAUGAGAACAAAGAGAGAGAAAGCUGAGACAUGAGAGAAUAUGCAGAACGAAAGCACAUUAUUACCUAAACUAGCAAAGUAGGGAGGGGAAAUAUUUUCAUUUCUGCAAAGGCCAUGUGUGAGUGCCUACAGGGAAAUCGUAUCCACAGCCUUGUGACUGAACCAAUAACUCAUAUCUGAUUCAGAAGCCGACUUUGUUGGAUUACUGUGCUACAGCUGUUCUCAGUCUACGUCCAGCCUCUCCCAACGGGACUGAUUGUAACAACACGUCUCAUUUAUAGAUCUCAUGUGCAGAGGCCUGGAAACCCAAAUUAAAACCUUAUGGAUGUUACUUUGGUGAAUUCAACUCCAAAGCAUUUUGGCUCCUCUGAACAGGUCAUUUUCAAUGUAGAGGGGUUCUGGAACACAAUGGAAAGGAUGCUUCUUUUGUACUUAGCCUUUUUAUGUGGGGGAUGUGAUUUGACAUAAAAUUAAUAACGGAAUAUAUUCUAGUAGCAUGUUGAGCUGUGGUCAGGCUUAGUAGAGGUUGAAUGGAAAGAGGAGAGGAAAAUGAGCAGAUGGGAAUGAGAUGGGUAGAACUUGGGAACUCAAGUGUUGGUCCUCAGGGAACAUCAGCAGGGGACCCGGACAACAGGACUUGUUCUCUAAGUAUGUUUUCCUAGGCACUGAGACCCAAAAGAUGAGAAACAUCUUGACCAAAGUUACCCCAGUAUGCAAUAGAGGUAGCACUAAGCACUCCAUCUGGAUUCAUUACUCAACUACCCUGUCUAAAAUUGCCUUGAAGUCACUAUGGCAACUUUAGGAAAAUGUAAGGGGAAACAAACACUCGAUAGUGGCUUCCGAGAAAGCAUUCAGCUUUACAGGUCAAGGGAAUUCUUCCAGUUUGUCCCGGGUCAGACAUAUUCUAGUCAGGUGUGGCUUAAUGAGGGUAGGAAAAUGCGAGCAGAUGUAAGGGACGUUUUAGAAAGAGAAAGAGCAGGAUGGACUAGAUUCUGUAGAAGUGGAAAAGGACACUGAGUGAGGACACUGGAUUCAUUCUAGAAAUAUUUUCUUUGUCAAUGUUCAGUGUUUGUCUCACUACUUCCUUUCCUCUAAUCUCUCAUUCUUUCUGGUGCACUAGGGUGAGAUACACAGAGACAGAAACAGCUGCCACAGAGCUUAAGGGAGGAAUGGCUGAGGUUUGCAUGGCUUCUACUUACUACAGAUGCAUACAUACCUUGUGCAUCUAGUCUAGUCUCCACCUCUUCAGGAAAUAGGCAAGAGACACAGAAUGUAUGUAAGCCAUUAUGGUCCUCUGUGAGGAAACUGAGGAAGGAUCUACAUGCACUGCUAUCACACAUGCACACAUGCUUGUACAUACUGCGCGAUUUGUAGAAAAGACUUCCGUUUCUAAAUUAUAUUUUUAUGUGUCUGGGUGCCACAUGCACUCCUAGUGCCCACAGAGGCCAGAAGAGGGUGUUGGAUCAUCUGGCACUAGAAUUACAGAUGAUUGGGAACUGCCAUGUGAGUGCUGAGAAUUGAACCUGGGUCCCCUGGAAGAGCAACCAGUGCUUUUUAACUGCAGAGCCAUUUCUUCAGUCCCAACUAAGAAAGGGCCAUUAAGCUGGUUUAAGCUGAUCUUUAGGAGAAUGAAUGGGAGGUAGCCAAUCAUGGAGGACAGAGGACAAAGAAAGACCACAUGGAAAAAGUGCCUGUUUUUAUCCAGUUAGACUUGUCUAGGGAUUGGGAGAAGAGGGGCCACCAGGAGAAAAUAAGUUGGAGACGUGGCCUGUAACCAAGCUAGAAAGCCAUGCCAAGCCCAGACUCAAUCCCUGAGGCAAUGGGAUGGAAGCAGGGAGAUGUCAUGACAUAAUAAUCCAAGGAGUCAUAUAUUCAGGUGAGCAUCUUAUGAAGUCACUGCCAGCCUAAACAAGAUUCAUUAAAGAAGGGGACAGGACUGAGACCUGGAGACUAGACGUGGAUAUUUGUCAUAGUGUAGAUAGAGAAUGAUCUAGAAGUGGGAGAGGGUUUAGAGGGAGAAGCAACAAGACCUGUGACUGACUUGGUUUUGGAGAAGAAGAGCAAAGCUAAGUUGGGAGGAGAUUAAUUUCAUUCAUCAAAAGCCCCGGUCUAUCUGUGUGCUGCUCUGUGAUGAUUUUUUUUAAGUAAACUCUUCAUUUCAUAGCCAGUUUUCCUCACUGGGAGAGACACAGGCUUACAUUCUGCUGAGUACUAUUAGAAAUUCAAGAAUUAACCUGUUUAUUCCUUUCCUUCUCCAGCUACUUCUACUGUUUUCAUUGUUAAGUUUUUAAAACAUUUAUUUGUGUGUGUGUGUGUGUGUGUGUGUGUGUGUGUGUGUGUGUGUGUUUGCACGCACGUGCGCCCAUAUGCAAUGGCACACAUGUAGAGGUCAGAAGACGACAGCUUUUAGGAACAGAUUCUUUCUUUCCACCUAUAGGAUUUAAUCCCAGGUAUUGAACUGGGGUCCCCAAGCUUGGUGGCUAUUUUCUCUACCCACUGAGCCCCAUUCUUGUUAUUUAUGGAUGACUGUGACAGACAGGGGGAGAAGUAGGGACCUGCUUCCCAAGUAUCUAUGUUUGGUGGUGUCAGACUGAGCUAUGAGCACCUUGUUUUGAGCUGUCUAGUGACCCAUGCCAUGAGCCAACAGAAUGAAUGGAUGGGAUUUCAUUGACUAGAUUUUUUUUUGGUGAGAUUUGUGAAUGAAUGGGCAAGGGACUGACCCUCUUAGUACCUUGCUCUAAUGGUUAGGGUUAGAGUUAGGGUUAGGUUUGGUAAUGAAUUCAAAGGCUCCUCAGCCUUUUCCCUUUCUCUUGGAACCCAGUAGAGUAGAUCCUCAUACACUAAAAGACUUUCUUAGCAUAGCUGUAGCUAGAGGAAUGGUUUUGAGAU